GGGUUGUGAGGUUAAGCGACUAAGCGUACACGGUGGAUGCCCUGGCAGUCAGAGGCGAUGAAGGGCGUGCUAAUCUGCGAUAAGCGCCGGUAAGGUGAUAUGAACCGUUAUAACCGGCGAUUUCCGAAUGGGGAAACCCAGUG
rnacentral:rRNA from 4 species